rnacentral:rRNA from 1 species
CUACGGGCGGCUGCAGUGAGGAAUUUUGCGCAAUGGGGGGAACCCUGACGCAGCAACGCCGCGUGAGUGAUGAAGGCUUUCGGGUCGUAAAGCUCUGUCAAGUGGGAAGAACCUAUGCAGUGUUAAUAUCACUGUAUACUGACGGUACCACUGAAGGAAGCACCGGCUAACUCCGUGCCAGCAGCCGCGGUAAUACGGGGGGUGCAAGCGUUAUUCGGGAUCAUUGGGCGUAAAGGGCACGUAGGCGGCUUGGUAAGUCAGAUGUGAAAGCCCGGGGCUUAACCCCGGAAGUGCAUUUGGUACUGUCAGGCUUGAGUAUGGGAGAGGGAAGUGGAAUUCCUGGUGUAGAGGUGAAAUUCGUAGAUAUCAGGAGGAACACCGGUGGCGAAGGCGACUUCCUGGACCAAUACUGACGCUGAGGUGCGAAGGCGUGGGUAGCAAACAGGAUUAGAUACCCUUGUAGUC